GUGUUGGUCUAAUGGAACACAACUGACGUAAAUCCGCAAUAGUUCAACAAUAAUUCAUAGCGUAAAGCGCCAGCUGCAGACCAAUCAGGGUGCCCAGUCCACCGCUGAAAGGGCCAACAGUGGGCACAUCACUUGAAUGGAUGGCUGGAUGCAUGUGCGUUGCUUACCUGGAGAACAGGUGGCACCAAGAUGUAAUAUGGGAAGAAGUCAAGCCGCCGGAGGAAGCGUGAUGCUUUGGGCAAUGUUCUGCUGGGAAACCUCAGGUCCUGUCAUCCAUGUGGAUGAUACUUUGCCACACACCACCCACCUAGGGUUGUUGC